UCAAGCUACUAAGGGUGCAUGGGGAAUGCCUAGGCGCCAGGAGGCGAUGAAGGACGUGGCAGGCUGCGAAAAGCUCCGGGGAGCCGCCAAGCAGGUUUUGAUCCGGGGAUGUCCGAAUGGGGGAACCCUCCAUCGUUCAUACGAUGGAAUCCCGUGGCAACGCGGGAAGCGAACGCAGGGAAUUGAAACAUCUUAGUACCUGCAGGAAAAGAAAGAGAAAUCGAUUUCCCGAGUAGCGGCGAGCGAAACGGAAAUAGCCUAAACCGGGUGUGUGCCAAGCCCGUGCGCGUUGCACACUCGGUGUCGUGGGACCAAGCGUUCCGGUGUACGGACCGGGGCCGGAGUCACAAAGCCUACACCUAGUCGAAGUGGUCUGGAAGGGCCAGCCGUAGAGGGUGAUAGCCCCGUAGGCGAAAGGUGGGAGGUCUCCGUUGUUUGGUUCCCAAGUAACACGGGCUAAGAGGAGACCCGUGUGAAUCUGGGCCGACCAUGGCCUAAGGCUGAACACUGCCUGGCGACCGAUAGUGAACUAAGUAGCGCGAGCGAAUGGCGAAAAGAACCCCUGUUAGGGGAGUGAAAAGAACCUGAAACCAUGCACUUACGAACGGUGGGAGGGCUAUGCCCGCAAGGGAAGGCCUGACCGCGUGCCUUUUGCUUAAUGAGCCCGGGACUUAUUGCGUGUCGCAAGCUUAAGCCCUUAUGGGGUGUAGGCGUAGGGAAACCGAGUGUGAAUAGCGCGACCAGUGACACGCCAUAGACCCGAAAGCCAGUGAUCUACCCAUGAGCAGGGUGAACCCUGGGUAACACCGGGGGGAGGCCCGGUAGGGUAUAACGUUGAAAAGUUAUCCUGUGACUUGUGGGUAGGAGCGAAAGACUAAUCAAACUGGCCAAUAGCUGGUUCUCCCCGAAAUAGCUUCAGGGCUAGCGUCGUGUAAUAGUCAUCGGGGGUAGAGCGACUGAAUGGGAUUUGGGGCCCACCAGGCUACCAGUCCCAACCAAACUCCGAAUACCGGUGACCGUAUCACGGCAGUCAGAAAGCGGGGGCUAAGCUUCGUUUUCAAGAGGGAAACAGCCCAGAGCGCCAGAUAAGGCCCCAAAAUCCCGGCUAAGUGCUAAAGGAAGUGAAGUUGCUAAGACAGCUAGGAUGUUGGCUUAGAAGCAGCCACCAUUUAAAAAGUGCGUAAUAGCUUACUAGUCGAGCAACUUCGCGCCACAAAUGAUCGGGCCUCAAGCCGGGUGCCGACGCUGCGUGUUUCGGUGGAGAACACAGAGUUUAGAGCGGCGAGUAUUGACGACGAGAGACGGACCUGUGACGCAGGCGGGGAUAGAGAGUACCUCGCGUUCCGCUGCAGGAGAACUUUGCCGUUGAUACUCGCGCUCUGGAUUCUGUGUUCUCCACCGAAGCGGUAGGGGAGCGUACCAUGCCGGAGCGAAGAUGGAGCGUGAGCACCAUUGGACUGCAUGGUAGUGAUUAUCCGGGCUUGAGUAGCGCAUGAAGAGGAGUGAGAAGCUCCUCCGCCGAAAGCCUAAGGUUUCCUGGGCAAGGUAAUUCCUCCCAGGGUUAGGCGGCCCCUAAGGUGAGGCCGAAAGGCGUAGCUGAUGGGUAACCGGUCAAUAUUCCGGUCCCACCCAGAGGAGGUUAUACCCACAGGAGGGGUGGGGGAGGCUAGGUCGUCCGGACGACUAGAAGUGUCCGGCCAAACCCGUAGGUGGGGAUCCUAGGCAAAUCCGGGGUCCCAGCCGCAAGGCGACACUGAGAGGUGAUGGGGAAGUCAAUUGCGACUGAAGCGACUGAUGCCAUGCCUACGAGAAAAGCUUCGGUGGGAACAAAUCUGGGUGUCCGUACUAAAACCGACACAGGUAGGCGGGGAUAGUAUCCUAAGGCGCUCGAGUGAGGCCUCGUUAAGGAACUAGGCAAAAUGACUCCGUAACUUCGGGACAAGGAGUGCCUCGUCGCGUGUAGGGUCUCGCAUCCGAAGCGUGGUGAGGUCGCAGUUAAUCGGGCCGGGGAACUGUUUAAUAAAAACACAAGUCUGUGCUAAGGCCAAAAAGCCGCUGUAUACAGACUGACGCUUGCCCAAUGCUGGAAGGUUAAGAGGUGGGGUCAGCCGCAAGGUAAAGCUCCUAAUUGAAGCCCCAGUAAAAGGCGGCCGUAACUAUGACGGUCCUAAGGUAGCGAAGUUCCUUGUCGGGUAAGUUCCGACGUGCAUGAAUAGCGUAAUCACUUGGCCGGUGUCUCAACGAGGUCCUCGGCGAAAUAGCAGCGGCGGUGAAGAUACCGCCUGCCCGCAGCAAGACGAAAAGACCCCGUGAACCUUUACUGUAGCCUAGUAUUGAGUCUUGGCUUAAUUUGCGUAGGAUAGGUGGGAGACGUUGAAGGUCGGAUCUCGGUCCGAUCGGAGUCACUAGUGAAAUACCACUCUUGUUAUGUUAGGAUCCUAACCCCGCUCGUGAAUCCGUGCGGGAGACAGUGCUAGGUGGGCAGUUUAACUGGGGCGGUUUCCUCCCAAAGAGUAACGGAGGACUUCCAAGGCUCCCUCAGUGCGGUUGGCAAUCGCACGAUGAGCGCAAGGGUAUAUGGGAGCUUAACUGCGAGACCGAUUAAGUCGAGCAGGUGUGAAAGCAGGACCUAGUGAUCCGGUGGUGCCGGAUGGAAGGGCCAUCGCUCAUGAGACAAAAGGUACUCCGGGGAUAACAGGCUGAUCUCCCCCAAGAGUCCACAUCGACGGGGAGGUUUGGCACCUCGAUGUCGGCUCAUCGCAUCCUGGGGCUGAAGAAGGUCCCAAGGGUUCGGCUGUUCGCCGAUCAAUAGCGGUACGUGAGCUGGGUUUAGACCGGCGUGAGCCAGGUCGGUCUCUAUCUGCUGUGGGUGCAGGAGAUCUGAGAGGAGCUGCUCUUAGUACGAGAGGAUCAGAGUGGACGCACCUCUGGUGUGCCAGCUAUCGCGCUAGCGGUACGCGCUGGGUAGCUACGUGCGGAAGGGAUAACCGCUGAAAGCAUCUAAGCGGGAAGCCCCCCUCAAAACGAGAUCUCCAUGAAGGGUCCGGGAAGACUACCCGGUUGAUAGGCUGGGCGUGUAAGGCCAGUAAUGGCUUCAGCUUACCAGUACUAAUCACCCGGCAAGCUUGACCAC
rnacentral:rRNA from 1 species